GACGAACGCUGGCGGCGUGCUUAACACAUGCAAGUCGAACGGAAAGGCCCUGCUUUUGUGGGGUGCUCGAGUGGCGAACGGGUGAGUAACACGCGAGUAACCUGCCCUUGACUUUGGGAUAACUUCAGGAAACUGGGGCUAAUACCGGAUAGGAGCUCCUGCUGCAUGGUGGGGGUUGGAAAGUUUCGGCGGUUGGGGAUGGACUCGCGGCUUAUCAGCUUGUUGGUGGGGUAGUGGCUUACCAAGGCUUUGACGGGUAGCCGGCCUGAGAGGGUGACCGGCCACAUUGGGACUGAGGUACGGCCCAGACUCCUACGGGAGGCAGCAGUGGGGAAUAUUGCACAAUGGGCGGAAGCCUGAUGCAGCAACGCCGCGUGCGGGAUGACGGCCUUCGGGUUGUAAACCGCUUUCGCCUGUGACGAAGCGUGAGUGACGGUAAUGGGUAAAGAAGCACCGGCUAACUACGUG
rnacentral:rRNA from 1 species